ACGCUCGACACCUACGGGAGGCAGCAGUGGGGAAUAUUGCACAAUGGGGGAAACCCUGAUGCAGCAACGCCGCGUGAGUGAAGAAGUAUUUCGGUAUGUAAAGCCCUAUCAGCAGGGAAGAUAAUGACGGUACCUGACUAAGAAGCUCCGGCUAAAUACGUGCCAGUAGCCGCGGUAAUCUGAGCGGGCUGGCAAGGC
rnacentral:rRNA from 1 species